rnacentral:rRNA from 1 species
AAUCAGGUAGGACUACCCGCUGAACNUAAGCAUAUCAAUAAGCGGAGGA